CACACACACUGUACCAACAGCUGGAUGUUGUUAACCAAUAAGCUAACUAAUAAGCUACAGCUCCUUAUCAAACCUAACAAAAAAAAUCCAUCUUCAAGCACAAAACUAGCAAGAUGUAAAAUAUGUAAAGACUUGAUCUAGAAAAAAACAAUGUAUUAUGCUUUAUUAUUUUAGUUAGAAAAGGGGGUGAAUUAGACAGGAAAAAAGUGCCCUCUUUGUUUUUAUUUUUCUUGUCACUCCUGUUGGCUGUGCCACGUAGACGUUUGUGCUUUCUGAUUGGCUAGAGUCAAGUUGUCGGCAGCUCCCGAGAAUUGUGAUUCUUCAAGCGGAAACGGCAGGUUCGUCGGUACAAGGUCAGUAAGCAGCAGGUACAUCUUUUUGUUCCAGCAAGAGAAGGAACUCCUACUGUGGUCUCAGUCACUAAGGACUUCCCAGGAACUGAGCGAACUGAGCUUUAGACACUUCUUGAGUUUCCAGUUCUCUUGAAAGCAUCAUAAAACCAGAAAUUUACCCACGAAGGACCACCGUGCCACCUUCCUGUACAAUGACAUGGUAAGGGGCCAAUGAUCCAGGCAGCAGCAGUAGCAGCAGCAGCAGCUGUGGUUUGUGAGAGGAGAGCAUCUCAUGUUGGAGACUGAUUGGCUGGCUGGCUAGUUGGCUGACUGCUAAGCUGCAAUCACAACAGAAUCCCAGAGGACAUACUUAGCCACUCUAUUCAGAUCCACCAUGAAGACAAAGCAACUUCAAUCUCUGUGUCGCUAGCUGGAUGCAGCACAGCCAGAAAUUAAAGUGUGGCUACAGCGCCAUCUGUUGGUCACAGACACUAGCACACAGACAGUACUGUGCCCUGAGUUGAAAACUAGAGGUGAAAAUAAAAACUUCCAUUUGGAGAUUAGGUUUGCUAGAUUGAAUUGAAUGGAGAUAGAGAUUCUUCCAAGGAAUAGUGGCUGAGUGAAUGUGAUACGAUAUAGUACGUGCUUGGAAAGUGCGUCCUUGAGUGAAAACUUCGACACUACAUUCUUUACAAAUAAGAAAAAAACAUAUCAAAAAGAGAACCCAUGCAAUUUUCCAUCAAAUUAAAAUUGGAUUUGUUUGUGUGAUUUCAUUAUGACUAUGCCGGCCUAGUGAAAAGUGUUUCAGCUGAAAGGAGAGGUUAAACUGCCUGCCAUUGAAAACACAUAGUCCUUGAGAAACAACCGAGAAGGCUUGAGCACACACUCAUGUACACACACACACACAUACACACACACCCCAUCAGAGGGCUUCUAUUGUGGCUUAGGCUUAUGGCAUUUAGGAGAGCUGUGAUCGCAGCACAGAGAGCACAGCAGACCACGGAUCACAAUUAACUCAUUGUGUCUGCCACUUGUAAUGGCUCUAAACCCACAGGAGAGGAGAGAGGGGUCAGGUGUGAUCAUGCUGACAGAGAGGGGGCAGGUGUGAUCAUGCUGACAGAGAGGGGUCAGGUGUGAUCAUGCUGACAGAGAGGGGUCAGGUGUGAUCAUGCUGACAGAGAGGGGUCGGGUGUGAUCAUGCUGACAGAGAGGGGUCGGGUGUGAUCAUGCUGACAGAAAGGGGUCAGGUGUAUUCAUGCUGACAGAGUGGGGUCAGGUGUGAUCAUGCUGACAGAGAGGAGUCAGGUGUGAUCAUGCUGACAGAGAAGGGUCGGGUGUGAUCAUGCUGACAGAGAGGGGGCGGGUGUGAUCAUGCUGACAGAGAGGGGUCGGGUGUGAUCGUGCUGACAGAGAGGGGUCGGGUGUAUUCAUGCUGACAGAGAGGGGUCAGGUGUGAUCAUGCUGGCAGAGAGGGGUCGGGUGUAUUCAUGCUGACAGAGAGGGGUCGGGUGUGAUCAUGCUGACAGAGGAGGGGUUGGGUGUGAUCAUGCUGACAGAGAGGGGUCAGGUGUGAUCAUGCUGGCAGAGAGGGGUCGGGUGUGAUCAUGCUGGCAGAGAGGGGUCGGGUGAGAUCAUGCUGGCAGAGAGGGGUCGGGUGUGAUCAUGCUGACAGAGAGGGGUCGGGUGAGAUCAUGCUGACAGAGAGGGGUCGGGUAGGAUCAUGCUGACAGAGAGGGGUCGGGUGUGAUCGUGCUGACAGAGAGGUGUCUGCUCUGCUGUAUCCCUGCCCACUGGGCUCCAUCACCACAAGAAAGGAGGGAAGGUGCCCCUGCCCACUGGAGUCUGUUCUCAACACACCUAUAUCUACUCUCGCAGUCUGGAGUUAGGACUAGAAAUAUGCUCCAUUUAAUGUAAAUUAUAAUUUGAAAUGGUUCUAAUGUGUCAAUUAAUCGAAUAAAUACCGCACAAAACAUGAACCUUAUCUCUAAUAUUAAUGCCUUAACACAUAAAACAACUAGGUGAGAUUCAGAUGUCCAUCAUGAUCCCUUACGGAUACAGUCAGUAAUACAACUGUCUGGACUUCAGCACUAGAUUGGAACAGUUUGUCCAGCUCUCAUCUAUCACGCUGACAGACCAUCCAGUAUUUCUCACGUCUACAUUAAUCACUGUUCUGCCUAUUAGCUCUGAAGGGUAUGUUCUCCGGCAAAAGGCCUCACUCACUCUCCGCUGAAUACAUACAGACAUGCACGCUCGCUUGUAGGCAUGCACACACACAGAGAGAGAAACACACACACACACACGAGAGAGGAAUACCACACACUCACACACAUAGAGGUGGGAAAGGCCACACUCUCCAUUGAAUUCCUCUGAGAGAGCAGGACUGAUGCCUCACUGCCGAGCCUUACGGCAUGCCCUGCCCUCUGCUGCCUACCAGCCAUAUAGAUUAUUUCAGUCUGUGUGUGUAUUCA